rnacentral:misc_RNA from 1 species
UAACCUACCGAGCUAGAGUGUGUCAGAGGGAGGUGGAAUUCCGCGUGUAGCAGUGAAAUGCGUAGAUAUGCGGAGGAACACCGAUAGCGAAGAGCAGCCUCCUGGGAUAACACUGACGCUCAUGCACAACGUGGGGAGCAAACAGGACUAGAUACCCUGGUAGUCCACGCCCUAAACGAUGUCAACUAGCUGUUGGGGCCUUCGGGCCUUGGUAGCGCAGCUAACGCGUGAAGUUGACCGCCUGGGAAGUACGGUCGCAAGAUUAAAACUCAAAGGAAUUGACAGGGACCCGCACAAGCGGUGGAUGAUGUGGAUUAAUUCGAUGCAACGCGAAAAACCUUACCUACCCUUGACAUGUCUGGAAUCCCGAAGAGAUUUGGGAGUGCUCGCAAGAGAACCGGAACACAGGUGCUGCAUGGCUGUCGUCAGCUCGUGUCGUGAGAUGUUGGGUUAGAAGUCCCGCAACGAAGCGCAACCCUUGUCAUUAGUUGCUACGAAGGGCACUCUAAUGAGACUACCGGUGACAAACCGGAGGAAGGUGGGGAUGACGUCAAGUCCUCAUGGCCCUUAUGGGUAGGGCUUCACACGUCAUACAAUGGUCGGGACAGAGGGUCGCCAACCCGCGAGGGAGCCAAUCCCAGAAACCCGAUCGUAGUCCGGAUCGCAGUCUGCAACUCGACUGCGUGAAGUCGGAAUCGCUAAUAAUCGCGGAUCAGCAUGUCGCGGUGAAUACGUUCCCGGGUCUUGUACACACCGCCCGUCACACCAUGGGAGUGGGUUUUACCAGAAGUAGUUAGCCUAACCGUAAGGAGGGCGAUUACCACGGUAGGAUUCAUGACUGGGGUGAGGUCGUAACAAGGUAA